UAUAAUGUUUGACUCUUCGUCUUAUUAAAAAUUUACGAUUAAUAUUUUUGUUUUUAUUAGAUGAUAAAUCAUGAAUAGUACUUUAUGUGUGACUUUUUUUAAUUUCUUAGAAAAGUUUUAAAUAAGACGGAUGGUCAAACGCUAUACACGGAAACC
rnacentral:pre_miRNA from 1 species